AGGUGCGAUCAUACCAACAUUAAUGCACUAGAUCCGAUCAGAACUUUGCAGUUAAGAGGGCAUGGGCUAGAGUAGUAUUGGGAUGGGUGACCUCCUGGAAAGUCCUAGGGUUGCACCCU
rfam:Picea glauca, whole genome shotgun sequence.